rnacentral:tRNA from 1 species
GUUGUCGUGGCCGAGUUGUUAAAACGAUGGUCAAGAAAUCUUUUGGGAUCUUCCCGCGCAGGUUCGAAUCCUGCCGACAUCG